CCUACGGGAGGCAGCAGUGGGGGAUAUUGCACAAUGGGGGGAACCCUGAUGCAGCGACGCCGCGUGGGUGAAGAAGCGCCUCGGCGCGUAAAGCCCUGUCAGCAGGGAAGAAAAUGACGGUACCUGAAGAAGAAGCCCCGGCUAACUACGUGCCAGCAGCCGCGGUAAUACGUAGGGGGCAAGCGUUAUCCGGAUUUACUGGGUGGAAAGGGGGCGCAGACGGCGAUGCAAGCCAGGAGUGAAAGCCCGGGGCCCAACCCCGGGACUGAUCUUGGAACUGCGUGGCUGGAGUGCAGGAGGGGCAGGCGGAAUUCCUGGUGUAGCGGUGAAAUGCGUAGAUAUCAGGAGGAACACCGGUGGCGAAGGCGGCCUGCUGGACUGCAACUGACGUUGAGGCCCGAAAGCGUGGGGAGCAAACAGGAUUAGAUACCCUAGUAGUC
rnacentral:rRNA from 1 species